rnacentral:rRNA from 1 species
CCUACGGGGGGCUGCAGUGGGGAAUAUUGCGCAAUGGGGGAAACCCUGACGCAGCGACGCCGCGUGAGCGAAGAAGGCCUUAGGGUUGUAAAGCUCUGUUUUAGGGGACGAAAGCUAUAGGGAGAAAAAUGCCCUGUAAAUGACGGUACCCUAAGAGGAAGCCCCGGCUAACUACGUGCCAGCAGCCGCGGUAAGACGUAGGGGGCGAGCGUUGUCCGGAAUUACUGGGCGUAAAGAGCACGUAGGCGGGAACUUAAGUCAGGUGUGAAAGACCGUGGCUCAACCACGGGUAUGCAUUUGAAACUGGGUUUCUUGAGGGCAGGAGAGGAAAGCAGAAUUCCUGGUGUAGCGGUGAAAUGCGUAGAAAUCAGGAGGAAUACCAGUGGCGAAGGCGGCUUUCUGGACUGACCCUGACGCUGAGGUGCGAAAGCGUGGGUAGCAAACAGGAUUAGAUACCCUAGUAGUC